ACGGGGUGCAGCAGGCGCGAAAACUUUGCAAUGUGCGAAAGCACGACAAGGUUAAUCCGAGUGAUUUGUGCUAAACGAAUCUUUUGUUAGUUCUAGAAAUACUAACGAAUAAGGGGUGGGCAAGUUCUGGUGUCAGCCGCCGCGGUAAAACCAGCACCUCAAGUGGUCAGGAUGAUUAUUGGGCCUAAAGCAUCCGUAGCCGGCUCUGUAAGUUUUCGGUUAAAUCUGUACGCUUAACGUACAGGCUGCCGGGAAUACUGCAGAGCUAGGGAGUGGGAGAGGUAGACGGUACUCGGUAGGAAGGGGUAAAAUCCUUUGAUCUAUUGAUGACCACCUGUGGCGAAGGCGGUCUACCAGAACACGUCCGACGGUGAGGGAUGAAAGCUGGGGGAGCAAACCGGAUUAGAUACCCGGGUAGUCCCAGCUGUAAACUAUGCAAACUCAGUGAUGCAUUGACUUGUGGUCAAUGCAGUGCUGCAGGGAAGCCGUUAAGUUUGCCGCCUGGGAAGUACGUACGCAA
rnacentral:rRNA from 1 species